CUUCAGCUUUCACUGCCAGAAGCUGGCUUUCCUUUCCAAAACUACUGGCCUCCUAACUUCAACACUUUGGCAACAGUACACUUGCCUUUAUUAUGUUCUUUGCUGACAGCUAUUCUGUUUCAACUCUAAGGAUAUUUCACUGAAACAAAGACACUUCUGAGGAAAAUUUAAUAUUCAGAUUCUGUGGAAAUGCCCAACCCAUGCCAGCAGAGAAGACAGACGUUAAAUGAUGGUGAUGAUGAUGAUGAUAGUGGUGGUGGUGGUAUAUGAAUAUUCAAGGUAUAUAAACCAAGAUAUGCAAGGAAUAUAUUAAAUCAUUAUAAAAUGAUUUACCUAAUUACUAUUAAAUAAUGAUUUACUAAACAAAUCUAUUGUAAAUGGAAAUCACCUAAGGUUUAUAUUCUGGCUGUAAAUAUUUAAUUUACUUCAUGAAUAUUUAUUGAAAAUAAAUGAACAUCGCCACUCUUAAUCCCUCCACUUUCUCUCUCUCUCUCUCUCUCUCUCUCUCUCUCUCUCUCUCUCUCUCUCUCUCUCUCUCUCUCUCUUAUACACACACACUUCUUGAAGUCAAUAAAAGCAAACACUCACAAACACAUACCUAUUGGCCAUGAAAGGUUUAUUUAACUAGUGUGGAAGAAGACUGAACAGUUUCCUGUUUGCAGUUUAUUACAAUUUAUUAUUUAUCAAUGACAUCUUAUAGACAUCAACAGCUGAGGCAGGCUGUUACCAUUCACUUUGUGUUGUGGUGUCAGUUAAUGGUUGAAUUGUAGUUUAGCAAGUUAAAUUUAUUCUCCACUAACUGAUAGACAUAACAGUCUGAAAGCAUUCGGGACACAUGCUAUAUAUUUAGUGCCUUCAACACCAACUAGCAUGAAACAGCCUCAAUUAAAGUGAUUACAUUUAAAAUUCAAAUCCAGCUGAAAUGUCAUUAUUACAUUAAAGAUAAUAUCGUAUAUCAAUAUGUAAACAUUUGUUAUUUGUUGGAAGUAAUUUAUUUUAUUAAACCUCUCAUGAUUCUUGACUAUUUUGAAAAUUUAACCAUAAAGACAGAAUACAGUCCCAAUAGGGUUGAUGAUUGCAAUAAAUGGUUCUCAAGGCCCUUGAAGGACCUUUCGAGUUGGUGCAGCUUUCUUUUGAUGAUGAGAAGCAGAUAGAUUAAAGAGAAAUUUCAGUUCCUAGACAGAUCACUUGUAUGUCACAGAUAUUUGCAACAAGUCUGUUAAACCAGAGGUGUCACAUUGGAUGUGAAGGGAAAUUUCUUUGAAGAUUUAAAGAAGAUAUGAAACAACUGGAAAAACAUCUGGAAAGAAGCUAAAGAGGUGACAUCAGAUCUUGAGAUGGAAAUCAAACUCCCACAAGUAUGUGAAGGUGUGAGACAAAAGAAGGGAGCAUGAUGACACAACUUCUGAUGCCAAUUUUCAGAAACAUCUGAUACAGAGGAUUUGCAAGCUGAGGCCCAUAUUAAUGUUAAAGUUUUGAUUGAUAUUGCAGAAUUUAUUAUACUUUUUAAUGUCAAGUGGUUCACAGAAAAUUUUGAUUUCCUCAGGAAAUGUCUCACAAUAUCUGAAAGUAAAGAGGUGAAAAAAAAGUGAAGCUGUUUGAACAUCAUUAUUCCACUGACCUUCAGAAUGAAAAAUUUGCAACAAAAUACAUUCACCAUCAAUACAUAAAACAAAUUUUGGAAACCAGAACUGAAAUCUUUAGAACUGCUAAAUUUAUCAACUGACUAAAAACUUUGUGAGAUAUUUCCAAAUAUUUGUGCUAAUUUGAGAAUACUGUUGACAAUUCCAGCUGCAAUAGCAUCUGUAAAAAAAUCUUUCAGCAAACUUAAACAUAGCAAAAACCUUUUAAAGGGCAAUGUGUCUUACCUGUUAAUUUAGCCAGAAGGAAUAUUGAAUCAAACAUUGCCAGAUAAACUGACUUGUGAUAAUGUUAUAAGAAAUUUUUUUAGAUAAAAAUGUUUGAAGGAAAAGGUUAUUUCUUUAAUUGAUGAGGCUCGUUGUAUAAAGUAAAUUAUAAUCUGGUUAUUCUGGAGAACAGGGAAUAAAGCAUAUUCAUUAGGUUAU